GUUAGUUUGUUAUAAUGCAUACCAGAUGCUAGCUAGUCUGCUGCCCUUGUUAGCAUGUUAGUCGGGUCCUUUGGAUAUCCUUGAGUGAUUCUAGGAUUUGUUAGCAGGUAGUGCAUGCAUGCACGUGUUAGUUGUGUGAGUGGGCUUGGUCAUGACCGGGUGAUUAGAGGAUAAGGGCACGAUGUGCUAGUGGCCUCAGUUAUGGGGCUUGAGUUGGCGUGCCAGCCCCUAGUGUAUGCAUAUGUGUUGCAUAUUUAGUAAUGAAAACGGGCCGUGGGGGCUGAAAAAAAAAAGUAGCCUCUCGUAUGACCAAGGAAAAAUGUAGCCUCUCGGGUUGUACUCGAAGUUGACGAAGGUGAUUCGUAAGCCCUUGGUGUGCAGCUCCUUUGCAAGGUGCAGCGUCGGUGUGACGUGGCCGCCCUUUGCCGGCUGCCGGAUGAGCACAACUUGGGCAGCCGCUGGUUCGGUUCGGAGCUCAUUAAGACAUGUAUAAUGAUGCUAUCUUAAGAGUAUCAUGUAGAACAAAUGCUAAUGUGGAGGAGUGAAAGAUCAUAAGAUAAGAUUUUUUCUUUUAUAUAAGAGAUGCCCACCUUUCGGUUUCUUUCUCCUUCAUCUCGGCAUUUAUCCUACGUGGCAUUCCUAAGAUAGCGUCAUUGUACAUGCCCUUAGCUAGAGAUUUCACGAUCCUGUUUUAGUAUGUAUGCAAAGGAUAACCGACAUGAAGAAGAACAUCAUGAACGUUUUUUGAGCAAAACUAGCAAUAUAUAUAUGAUAAAAAUGGG
rnacentral:lncRNA from 1 species